AGCUUGCUUCUCUUGAGAGCGGCGGACGGGUGAGUAAUGCCUAGGAAUCUGCCUGGUAGUGGGGGAUAACGUUCGGAAACGGACGCUAAUACCGCAUACGUCCUACGGGAGAAAGCAGGGGACCUUCGGGCCUUGCGCUAUCAGAUGAGCCUAGGUCGGAUUAGCUAGUUGGUGGGGUAAUGGCUCACCAAGGCGACGAUCCGUAACUGGUCUGAGAGGAUGAUCAGUCACACUGGAACUGAGACACGGUCCAGACUCCUACGGGAGGCAGCAGUGGGGAAUAUUGGACAAUGGGCGAAAGCCUGAUCCAGCCAUGCCGCGUGUGUGAAGAAGGUCUUCGGAUUGUAAAGCACUUUAAGUUGGGAGGAAGGGCAGUUGCCUAAUACGUAACUGUUUUGACGUUACCGACAGAAUAAGCACCGGCUAACUCUGUGCCAGCAGCCGCGGUAAUACAGAGGGUGCAAGCGUUAAUCGGAAUUACUGGGCGUAAAGCGCGCGUAGGUGGUUUGUUAAGUUGGAUGUGAAAUCCCCGGGCUCAACCUGGGAACUGCAUUCAAAACUGACUGACUAGAGUAUGGUAGAGGGUGGUGGAAUUUCCUGUGUAGCGGUGAAAUGCGUAGAUAUAGGAAGGAACACCAGUGGCGAAGGCGACCACCUGGACUGAUACUGACACUGAGGUGCGAAAGCGUGGGGAGCAAACAGGAUUAGAUACCCUGGUAGUCCACGCCGUAAACGAUGUCAACUAGCCGUUGGGAGCCUUGAGCUCUUAGUGGCGCAGCUAACGCAUUAAGUUGACCGCCUGGGGAGUACGGCCGCAAGGUUAAAACU
rnacentral:rRNA from 1 species